rnacentral:rRNA from 1 species
UACGGAAUGUGCAAACGUUAUUCGGAAUCACUGGGCUUAAAGAGUCCGUAGGCGGCAUGUUAGGUGAGGUGUGAAAUCCCCCGGCUCAACCGAGGAAUUGCGCUUCAAACCGGCGUGCUUGAGGAAGAUAGAGGUGGGCGGAACUGAUGGUGGAGCGGUGAAAUGCGUUGAUAUCAUCAGGAACACCGGAGGCGAAGGCGGCUUACUGGGUCUCUACUGACGCUGAGGCACGAAAGCCAGGGUAGCAAACGGG